rnacentral:ncRNA from 1 species
AUCUGUUUGAUAGCGCCAGGCUUUAUUUAAGGUGACGAGGACCAAGUUUAUCGAAUUUCGGCGGAUGACUUGGAGGCUGUACAGUCUAUAGGGUGAGACAAAAGUCUAAGGACCACAAAACAUAGCCCAAGUACAAUA